rnacentral:rRNA from 1 species
AACUUUUAACAACGGAUCUCUUGGUUCUCGCAUCGAUGAAGAACGUAGCAAAGUGCGAUAACUAGUGUGAAUUGCAUAUUCAGUGAAUCAUCGAGUCUUUGAACGCAGCUUGCACUCAUUGGUAUUCCAAUGAGUACGCCUGUUUCAGUA